UCUCUGAGCUUUCUCUGAUUACUAAUAAUAGUAAUAGUAUUAAUAAUUGUAAAUGGCCAUUGGUCACACCACCAGUUUGUUUUACUGUAAACUUGGAGGAAGUUAGUAAUUAUGAUGCACACUAAUUGAGUUUGAUUCCUGGAUUCCUACACUGUGUGCGUGUGUUUAUGUGUAUAUAAUCUCACCUUCUUCAUGAAAUAGGGCAUACCAAGACAACGGGCCUCCAACAACUGUGGGGUGUUUGUGCUCAUGUAUGCCCUCUACUUUGUGAUGGAGUCAGCUUUUGAUUUCAGUGAGUUGGACAUGGAGCAUUUAAGGAGAUGGUGGUGCAUGCUACUCAUUGACAACUUCCCCGUGACAAAAAGGACCCACUGGCAAAGACGGCUGCAGAAAUUCUUGUCAGCUCUGAAGAGGAGGAUGGAGAGAAGCACCCCUUUAUAAGUAGUGCUAUGGCGGCAUCUCAGUGGUGCUCUGCAAAGAAUAUGGGAGAUAAAGUCAUCCUGCCACAAAUUCUUUCCAUGGCCCCACUGGACAGAGAAGCAGCUCUCCAUAACCUUGGUGAAGCCAGCAACCUGCGGGACGAAGACAGCUGGGAAGACAGGAUGGACCCAUUUAUGUUCAGGUUCAAAUUUGAGUCUGACUAUUUAAUGUUUUUUGAGCAGUGCAUUGACAAAGAAAACCUUAAGGUUCAUGCCUGUUUUGAAGAGCGCGGUUGAAUGUUUGCAUCAGCAAAGCCUUUCACUGUUGUAUAGAUUUUUUUUUUGUAUACUUGGUUUGGUUUUUAUAUUUACUGUAUUUGCUUUUUCGGUUCUGUUAUCUUAAUGAUUGUUCUGUUAUAUGAUAAAUGUUGUAAAUAAUAAAUGCUUUUUCUAUCAUUCUAUG